AGUGAACGCUGGCGGCAGGCCUAACACAUGCAAGUCGAACGGCAGCACGGCGGUAGCAAUACCGUGGGUGGCGAGUGGCGGACGGGUGAGGAAUACAUCGGGAUCUACCCUGUUGUGGGGGAUAACGUAGGGAAACUUACGCUAAUACCGCAUAAGAACUGAGGUUGAAAGCGGCGGACCGCAAGGCGUCGCGCGAUUGGAUUAACCGAUGUCCGAUUAGCCAGUUAGCGGGGUAAAGGCCCACCAAGGCGACGAUCGGUAGCUGGUCUGAGAGGACGACCAGCCACACUGGAACUGAGACACGGUCCAGGCUCCUACGGGAGGCAGAAGUGGGGAAUAUUGGACAAUGGGCGAAAGCCUGAUCCAGCCAUGCCGCGUGGGUGAAGAAGGCCUUCGGGUUGUAAAGCCCUUUUGUCCGGAAAGAAAAGCAUACGGUUAAUACCCGGGUGUUCUGACGGUACCGGAAGAAUAAGCACCGGCUAACUUCGUGCCAGCAGCCGCAGUAACAC
rnacentral:rRNA from 1 species